rnacentral:rRNA from 1 species
UGGGAAGUAUUGCACAAUGGGCGCAAGCCUGAUGCAGCCAUGCCGCGUGUGUGAAGAAGGCCUUCGGGUUGUAAAGCACUUUCAGUCGUGAGGAAGGUAGUGUAGUUAAUAGCUGCAUUAUUUGACGUUAGCGACAGAAGAAGCACCGGCUAACUCCGUGCCAGCAGCCGCGGUAAUACGGAGGGUGCGAGCGUUAAUCGGAAUUACUGGGCGUAAAGCGCAUGCAGGUGGUUUGUUAAGUCAGAUGUGAAAGCCCGGGGCUCAACCUCGGAAUAGCAUUUGAAACUGGCAGACUAGAGUACUGUAGAGGGGUGAGAAGUUUCAGGUGUAGCGGUGAAAUGCGUAGAGAUCUGAAGGAAUACCGGUGGCGAAGGCGG